CUACGGGUUGCUGCAGUGGGGAAUAUUGGGCAAUGGGCGCAAGCCUGACCCAGCAACGCCGCGUGAGGGAAGAAGGUUUUCGGAUUGUAAACCUCUGUCCUUGGGGACGAAAAAAAUGACGGUACCCAAGGAGGAAGCUCCGGCUAACUACGUGCCAGCAGCCGCGGUAAUACGUAGGGAGCGAGCGUUGUCCGGAAUUACUGGGCGUAAAGGGUGCGUAGGCGGCUAGGCAAGUCAGAUGUGAAAUACCCGGGCUUAACUCGGGGGGUGCAUUUGAAACUGCUUGGCUUGAGUGCAGGAGAGGAAAGCGGAAUUCCUAGUGUAGCGGUGAAAUGCGUAGAUAUUAGGAAGAACACCAGUGGCGAAGGCGGCUUUCUGGACUGUAACUGACGCUGAGGCACGAAAGCGUGGGGAGCAAACAGGAUUAGAUACCCGAGUAGUC
rnacentral:rRNA from 1 species